UCUCUCUCGAGAUCGAAAUUCAACGACCGAACAUUUGCUGAGAAAUUAAUGCAAGCCCACAGCAACUCUUCAGUGUUUGUGUCAAAGUUCAUGUUCUUCUUUCUUUUCUUGGCAGAGAAUUCCAAGAAAGUUUCCACCUUUGUCCUAAACUCAGUUAGAGCCAGCUCCUGCUAUUUCCCAAGACAAAGUCCUCUGAUGUUCUUACAUUCAUAAAAAUGGUAAAUUUCGUCCUCGCCUUCUUUCUCGCAUAUGGGUUGUGUUUUCCUUCCGCAAUAAAUUCGGUCGCCGAUUUAGAUUUUGAGUUUAAAGCUGAAUCUGCUCCGAGAUUUAGUUACGAUCGGAUCGAUGAAGUGAAGAGACAGUGUAGGUCUGUUCUGUCCUCAGCUUCCGAACUGAAACUCGAAGACAUAUCUAGGGUUCGUGGUGUUAGGAAGGGGCUCGGAUUCCAGUACGGAGAUUGGAACCAAGAUUCGGGCGCUUCCCCGAUUUUGCCAUUUGAUGAGAGUACAAACCCAUCGAGAAACUCGCUGGCUAAGCCCGUGAAGCUCGCCUCUUUCUGGGUCACGGAUCUUGAUCUUGCCCAUCGAUCCAAGAAAUAUGUGGGCGUUAAUGGCGUUUUGAUGCUCGGUAUAACAGUAGAUAAUGGUUUACCCAGGAAUCUGCGUUUUGAUAGAAGCCGUCAAUUCGAGUUAUGGCCUGGUCAUACUCAGCUUAAGAUCUCCCUUCAAGGAGUUUAUUUCGAGACGAAAGAGAAUGACGGGGAAAGAGUUAUGUGUAUGCUCGGGGAGACGAUGUUACCUUCUCGUGAAUCCGAUUCGGAUACCAAAGAUCCAUGGAAAUGGGUGAGGGAUCAUUCUCCCGGUACACCUCCUCUUUUGCAGGAUGAUCAGAUUCUGGUUCUCAUUCGUUACCCGAAGAGAUUCACAUUGACAAAACGGGUAAUAGAAGGAGAAAUGACAAGUCUGAAUCAGAAAACUAGCCUCAAGUAUUUCGACAAGGUUCAUAUUCUGUCCCAGCUCGGGGAAUCAGCCCGUUACGAGUUUUCCUCUGAGGAUUUAGUAUCAAAGGCUUGUGAUUCAUAUCCUUAUAAGAACGACAGCUUUCUGAGUUCGGGUAUCGAUGUCUAUAACGGAACAGGGUUCUGUUCACUUCUUGAAAGAGUUAGUAAUGGUGUCCUCACAAUUGUGCCGAACUGGAAGUGCAACAGCACGGAUGAAUACUGCGGUAAGUUGGGACCAUUCCCGUCUGAUGAAGAAAUAAGAUCGACCAAUGGUAGCUUUAAGGAUGUGAAACUGUAUAUGCAAGGUGUUCAUUGUCAGGAAACAGCAGCUCGGUCUCAGGCUGAUUUUCUGACAAGGGUCUCGGCCGUUUUUCGGGCAGUUCAUCCGACCGAGAAUGAGUAUAUUGCAGCUUGGAGAUCGGCACCUAACAAUAUGACUGUUUCAGUUGAAGGGAUUUGGAAACCUUCAAGCGGGCAGCUUUGCACGGUAGGGUGUGUCGGGAAAGUUGAUGCAGAAGGAAGCAGCUGCAACAUCAGGCUUUGUCUGUACAUUCCGAUUACGUUUUCCGUAAGGCAAAGGAGUAUACUUGUCGGAACUUUCUUCAGCAUCAAUGGUGAAGGAAACUCGUUCUUCCCUCUGUCUUUUGAGAAGCUGGUGCAGGCUACGGGGAUGCCGAAUUAUGUCGGAUCGAUGUCCCCACGUUAUAGUUACUCCAAGAUCGAGGCAGCUGGUGCUAUUCUGGAAAAGAACGAGCCUUUUUCCUUCGGGAAAAUUAUCAAGAAAUCCUUUCUGCAGUACCCGAAACUAGAAGAUGCGGGAAAUUUCUUUUUCAGCCAUAUUCAUCUUGCUGGGGAUCUGACCAUCCAUACCUCCGCUUUUUCUGAUGCUCGUUCCAAGUUUCCUGCCGCGGGGACUAAUCUUGGCAUGGAUAUUCUUUCACUUGGUCCGUUCUUUCAACUCUCUUUGAAUUCUACAGGCUUUUCCACUGUGGAACAGGAGACUCCUUACCGUACCAAAGCUGAAUACACCGAGAAACAGCUUCUUUUGAAUGUUUCAGCACAAAUCUCACUUACAGGAGAGCCUUAUGGUAACCUUUCUGUGCUGUAUUUGGAGGGUCUUUAUGAUGAGAAUGCCGGGAAAAUGUAUCUUGUCGGUUGCAGGGAUGUGAGGGCCUCGUGGAAAAUCUUGUUCGAUAGUAAUGAUCUUGAAGCCGGGUUGGAUUGUCUGAUUGAGGUAAUUGUAUCGUAUCCACCUACCAAAUCACGGUGGUUGGCCGAUCCAACGGCUCGUGUUUCCAUAUCCAGCCAGAGACCGGAGGACGAUCCUCUCUACUUUAAACCGGUAAAGCUUAGAACUUAUCCCAUCUUUUACCGGAAGCAGAGGGAAGACAUCCUUUCUCGCGCUGGUGUUGAGGGCAUCCUCCGGAUUCUCACGCUUUCUUUCGCUAUUGCUUGCAUUACGAGCCAACUCCUUUACGCCAGAAACAGCACGGUUUCGCUUCCGUUCAUGUCUCUUGUAAUGCUUGGGGUUCAGGCUCUUGGUUAUAGCCUGCCUUUGAUCACUGGAGCUGAGGCUCUUUUCAGGAGAAAAGCUUCAGGAUCUUAUGAGAUUCCUUCAUAUGAUCUUCAGAGAAGUCAGUGGCUCAAUGUGAUCGAUUACACCGUCAAAUUUCUCGUUCUGGUCUGCUUUCUACUAACCCUCAGACUCUGUCAGAAGGUAUGGAAGUCCCGUGAGAGGCUGCUGACACGAACACCUCAUGAACCGCAACAGGUUCCGAGCGAUCGGAGAGUAGUUCUCAUCACCAUGGUCUUGCACCUGGUCGGGUACAUAGUUAUCCUGAUAGUACAUUCCACAAGAACAGCAGAGACAAAGCUUGAGCCUGAGAUAUUCGGACAGUCUUUAGUUACCUCACCCGAGCCAGUUAGAGUUGCAGAAUUUACUGGUAAUCCACCAGUCCCACGUGGUUGGCAGACUGAAUUAGGGGAAUAUAUCGGUCUUGUACAAGAUUUUUUCUUGCUCCCGCAGGUUAUUGCCAAUGUCAUGUGGCAGAUCGAGUGUCAGCCCUUGAGGAAACUAUAUUACAUCGGUAUCACUUCACUCAGGCUUCUUCCUCACAUCUAUGACUACAUCACCGAUCCUAUUCCCGACCCGUUUAUUAUGGGAGGUGACCAUGAGUUUGUCAAUCCAAAUCUUGAUUUCUUCUCCAAAUUCGGAGAUAUCGCAAUACCCGUUACAGCGAUUCUCCUAGCAGUGAUCGUGUUUGUUCAGCAGAGAUGGGACUAUGACAGGCUGUCCCAAGCUCUGAUCAUUGGGCGGUUUAGGAUUCUCCCGCCUCGUUCCAUAAAGUACGAGAGGUUGCAGAAUCAGCCAACCGAGGCUGAACUAGUUUCUGCAGUUGGUGUCAAUGGAAAUCGUUCUCGGGAAAAAGAGUAUGACGACGAAGAAUGAUACAGUGACCUCUUCUACCGACUUGCAACGUUUUCUCUUCUUGUAAGCUCUUGUGGACCGUCUUUUUUUAUUUUCGGGUUUUAUGCCAAGAGAUAUCAUAUUCCAAAUCAAAGAAAUGGAUCAUCUCAUGUGACCAGAACUUGUUUCUUAAGCUUUCAGGUAUUAUUACACUCGGCCCGAGCAUGAGAAUGCCUUCAAACACCGCAAUAAGCCUUGAUAGGACACUCUGCUCGGUAUCCG